UUUAUGGAGAGUUUGAUCCUGGCUCAGAGUGAACGCUGGCGGCGUGCCUAAUACAUGCAAGUCGAACGAUGAAGCCUUUAGCUUGCUAGAGGUGGAUUAGUGGCGCACGGGUGAGUAAGGUAUAGUUAAUCUGCCCCGCACUGGGGGACAACACUUAGAAAUGAGUGCUAAUACCCCAUACUCCCGCCUCACACAGGUGAGGUGGGGAAAGUUAAUGAUUCAAACUGACUUGGAUUUUUUCAUCUUAAUUGAGUAUGAAGGCCUGAAUUUGAUUGAAAAACUUUGUUAAAUUUAAACCAAGAAUAAAAACUUUUUAAAUUUGAGCCAAGAGCAAAGUUUUUAAAAAGCUUUAACUUUAAAUAAAAUUCUAAAGCUUGAUUUGUUAUUUCAUAUUCACUUAAGAUGAAAUUCAAGCGGUGAAGAUUUUUCGGUGUAGGAUGAGACUAUAUAGUAUCAGCUAGUUGGUAAGGUAAAGGCUUACCAAGGCUAUGACGCUUAACUGGUCUGAGAGGAUGAUCAGUCACACUGGAACUGAGACACGGUCCAGACU
rnacentral:rRNA from 1 species